AUAGCAAGAAAGGUUUUCGCAUCUCGUGCUUCCUAUACAAAGAAAGCUAGCCAUAGAUUACAUCUAAGUGUAAACAGGGAUAUGGAGAGUGUAAAUUCAUGUCAACCAGGCGUGAAACAGGAUGGAUCUAGUUUCCAUUUCAAAAGUAAAAAGCGGGCCUGGAAAAGGAAAGAGGCAAGGACAAUUUCUUGUGUCUACUCGAUAAAGUUCAAACGUCGUAUAAAACCUAAAAAAAGUUUUUGAUAUUGAUUUCAGUUCUUUAUGAAGCUAGAGGAGAAAGUUCAUGCCAAAGAGGAAGAAACGCAUCAGCUCCAAACAAGAACCCAGGAAAAGAAAUAAGCAAAGAUCAAAUAGCUACGGAGAAAUCUCAAUUUCAAAGCAACUCCCAUGCCUGCCUUCUACCGUGAAGCUAGUCGCCGCUUAGACAAAACAUAGUAUUAUAACAGGUCUCAAAUAAUGAGGAUCGUCAAAUUUUACCUUUCACAAGUGUCUUCCUAUUUCUUCUGUUAUUUUCUGUUUUCCUAUGUUGAAACUGGGUAACAUCUAAUCCGUGUACUUAGCUUACUGUUCUCGCAUUAAAGUAAAGCUUGCUUGUAGGUACACUUGCAAGCUUUUUUACGUAUUGGUUUAUAGUAGAAGCACUCUCCUGUCAUUUUAUGACUCAAAUCCCCUUUCUUGGACAAGCGAUUUCAGCUUUCUAAAAA